UCAUCAGUUGAUGGACAUUUGGGUGUUGCC
rnacentral:piRNA from 1 species